rnacentral:rRNA from 1 species
UACGUAGGGUGCGAGCGUUGUCCGGAAUUAUUGGGCGUAAAGAGCUUGUAGGCGGUUUGUCGCGUCUGCUGUGAAAAUCCGGGGCUCAACCCCGGACUUGCAGUGGGGUACGGGCAGACUAGAGUGUGGUAGGGGAGACUGGAAUUCCUGGUGUAGCGGUGAAAUGCGCAGAUAUCAGGAGGAACACCGAUGGCGAAGGCAGGUCUCUGGGCCACUACUGACGCUGAGAAGCGAAAGCAUGGGGAGCGAACAGG